GGAUUAGAUACCCUGGUAGUCCACGCUGUAAACGAUGAGAACUAGGCGUUGGGCGGGUUAAACCGUUCGGUGCCGUAGCAAACGCGUUAAGUUCUCCGCCUGGGGAGUACGGCCGCAAGGUUGAAACUCAAAGGAAUUGACGGGGGCCCGCACAAGCGGUGGAGCAUGUGGUUUAAUUCGAUGCAACGCGAAGAACCUUACCUGCCCUUGACAUCCUUGGAAGCGUUUAGAGAUAGACGUGUGCCUUCGGGAACCGAGAGACAGGUGCUGCAUGGCUGUCGUCAGCUCGUGCUG
rnacentral:rRNA from 1 species